AUUGAACGCUGGCGGCAUGCCUUACACAUGCAAGUCGAACGGUAACGGGCCUUCGGGUGCCGACGAGUGGCGAACGGGUGAGUAAUACAUCGGAACGUGCCCGAUCGUGGGGGAUAACGCGGCGAAAGCUUUGCUAAUACCGCACACGAUCUACGGAUGAAAGCAGGGGACCGCAAGGCCCUGCGCGGUCGGAGCGGCCGAUGGCAGAUUAGGUAGUUGGUGGGAUAAAAGCUUACCAAGCCGACGAUCUGUAGCUGGUCUGAGAGGAUGAUCAGCCACACUGGGACUGAGACACGGCCCAGACUCCUACGGGAGGCAGCAGUGGGGAAUUUUGGACAAUGGGCGCAAGCCUGAUCCAGCCAUGCCGCGUGCAGGAUGAAGGCCUUCGGGUUGUAAACUGCUUUUGUACGGAACGAAAAGCCUUCUUUUAAUACAGGAGGGUCAUGACGGUACCGUAAGAAUAAGCACCGGCUAACUACGUG
rnacentral:rRNA from 1 species